rnacentral:lncRNA from 1 species
UCAAAAAUUUUAGGGUCACAUUUCAGCGUGGGCACCAUGAACCAGCUACAAAACGGCACUCAAGGCAAAGGACCCUGGCAAAGGGCCUUGUCUACACUGACUUAGUUUCACCACUGGGCUGGCCUCAGACCUCACAGGGCACUGCCCACCUACCAAGUCUCCACUCUGUGCCCGUUUAAAAUGAUGCACUUAGGGAGUCCCUGUGGUGGCUCAGUGGUAACGAACCCGACUAGGAUCCAUGAGGAUGCAGGUUCGAUCCCUGGUCUCGCUCAGUGGGUUAAGGAUCCGGCAUUACAGUGAACUGUGGGGUAGGUCACAGACAAGGCUCAGAUCUCACGUCGCUGUGGUGGCGGAGUAGGCAAGUAGCUGUAGCUCGGAUUUGAACCCCAGACUGGGAAUCUCCAUAUGCUGAGGGUGCAGCCCUAAAAAGAAGAAAACUUGCUUUGUGUUAAUAAACGGUAUUUAUGCAGAUCUGCCAGAUAUUUGAAAGUGCUUAAUUUUACUGCAGUAAAUACUAAGAAUCCUUUUUAAAGCAUGGAAACCAAGCCCCAGGCAGGGAAAACACGAUUUGCCUUCAGAGCCUUUGACAAACUCACAUUGGCACUAGGAUUAGACCAUAGCUUGUUGGCCUUGAUUCCAUCUCCUACUGAGGCUGGCUGAAGGGGUCAGGAGCCCUGCUGUGGCCACAAGGCCAAAGCUGGACCUGAAAAUACUCUUGCAGAUGAAACUGGAACACACGACGUCCUACCCACAGAGUCAGCACGUCACAGCUGACUGCCAUCAAGGGAUGCGAGGGGGAAGGUUAUAUUCCUGGGAUACUGGUGGUCAGAACCGACUGCUCUCUGCCUUUCCUUCCUUCCUUCCUUCCUUCCUUCCUUCUUUCUUUCUUUCAGAUUUUUAUUUUCUCUCUGCCUUUCUUGGCUGUGUGACAGGUGCCCUGCAGUUACCUUCCUGUGGUUGUGAACGUGCCAUAGGAAGGCCUCAUCCAUCAAGAAAAAGCUGUAGGCAUCCAAGAGAAAGGGAGAAGGAAUCGUGAAUUGUAAACUACUUGAGUGCAGAGAACGCAGGGAGUGGUUUCUUCCUUUCGUCAUCAGAAGAAGGCCAGAUGUGCUGUAGACCCUCAGCCAGGGAUACAUUGUGAUAAGCUGAUAGAGAAACACUGAGAGGAAGUGUUCAGCAAAAUGAAAGCUGAAUUUCCAAGAUGGGUCUGAUUGUGUUCAGAUGAGAGCGGGGUUUGAAUGCAGCUUUCACCUGGAACCCUCAGCGUUAAGGUGCACAGGGCAUGCGUUAUUGCCUUAAUUCUCACAAUUCCCCUGGCAGCCUGGGAUGGUAGGAGCUGAUGUUCACCUCUGCGCUGACAGAAGGGCUUUAGGCAGUUGUGGCAAAAAACGGAGCCGAUGAGGGGCUGCGCUCAGCUCAGCUGGUUAAGUUUCCUGUUGGUGGCUCUUCCUCCCCAAGAUGCUUCAAGACUGCGUGCGAUAUCAAGUUGGACUUGUCUGUUCACACUUUCGCUGCGGUGCACGUGAUUUUGUCUGUUCUGUGAUUUUGUCUGUCUGCAGCCCCUGUCUGUUCAGAGCCUGAGCCUUUAAGACCUGGGGCUGCAUCUCAGCUCUGUGGGUCACGGGCUGUGUGAGUUGGGCGAGUCCUCCUCAGUCCAUCACAGCGUCAGAGGCCAUGUCCCAUGGGGAAGGACACCCUGGAUGCUCCCCUGCCCCCCGCCCCAGAGCCUGGCGAUAGGAGGCUUCCUGAGCAUCCUCUUCGUGCCACAGUCUGCCUUCCUGGCUGUCACAUCUGAUGUUGUCCUCUGCCCCCAGCAUCUCUGCUUGUGAUUGGUCACGAGCUCCUCAUCGAGAGGUGUGCUUUACCAGAAGCUCCAUCUCUGUGUGAGUGGUACAAAUGAGGAGAAUUUCUUGAGAACUCGUUCUUCCUUCACGUAAGCAUAGCCAGAGUUAAAAUCAGGCUUUGUAUUUCUGAGACAUACUGAAUGAAUAAAUAGGGAAGAAAUACUGGGCGUUUGUCACAAUUCUUAAGCUGUCCACUUAGAGAAGCAUAGCUCUGUAUUUACACACAGAUAAUUGGAAGAUUCAGUUACGGCUCGCUUUAGUGGCUGUCUGUGUCAUACGUAAUAAUUUUCACUUCAUGUUAACAGAUCACUCAGGGUUACUAUGAGAUUUGAUCAGAUAAUAGUUACAAAGACUUUUAAAUUCUGUAAAUGAAAAAAUCUGAUGAAACUGUAAAAGUGCUCCUUCUGUUCACUGAAACCAAUACGGUUGCUGUUGCAACAUUUCUUUCCUUUCCUUCUCUCUUUCCCUUCCUUCUCUCACUACUUCUCGCUUCUUCCCUUCCUUUCCCUCCUCUCCCCUCCUCUCCUUCCAUCCAUCCUGCGGGGUUUUUACAGGGAUAACACUGACACUAAUUCUGCCUUCAUGGAAUUUACAGACUAGCGGAAGAAACAGGCAGCUUUACAAGCACGCAAAGGUACUUGCAGGUUAUGAUGUGUUAU